rnacentral:rRNA from 1 species
AUAACGGUCCUAAGGUAGCGAAAUUCCUUGUCAGGUAAGUUCUGACCCGCACGAAAGGCGUAACGAUUUGGGCGCUGUCUCAGCUGUAGACUCGGUGAAGUCUUAGUACCUGUGAAGAUGCAGGUUACCCGCGACUAGACGGAAAGACCCCAUGGAGCUUCACUGCAGGUUGAUAUUGGGAUUUGAUGCAGCAUGUACAGGAUAGGUAGGAGGCAAAGAGAUGGAUACGCCAGUAUUCAAGGAGCCGCUGUUGGGAUACUACCCCUGUUGUAUUGGAUUUCUAACCGGACGACGUAGAGCCGUUGACGGGACAGUGUCAGUCGGGCAGUUUGACUGGGGCGGUCGCCUCCCAAAGAGUAACGGAGGCGCCCAAAGAUACCCUCAGCUUGGAUGGAAACCAAGCGCAGAGUGCAAAGGCAAAAGGGUGUUUGACUGCGAGACCCACAAGUCGAGCAGGGACGAAAGUCGGGCUUAGUGAUCCGGCGGUGCUGAAUGGAAAGGCCGUCGCUCAACGGAUAAAAGCUACCCUGGGGAUAACAGGCUGAUCUCCCCCAAGAGUCCACAUCGACGGGGAGGUUUGGCACCUCGAUGUCGGCUCAUCGCAUCCUGGAGCUGAAGUCGGUUCCAAGGGUUGGGCUGUUCGCCCAUUAAAGCGGUACGCGAGCUGGGUUCAGAACGUCGUGAGACAGUUCGGUCCCUAUCUGUCGUGGGCGCAGGAAAUUUGAGAAGAGCUGUCCUCAGUACGAGAGGACCGGGAUGGACGCAUCAAUGGUGGACCAGUUGUCACGCCAGUGGCAUAGCUGGGUAGCUAAAUGCGGAAGGGAUAAACGCUGAAGGCAUCUAAGUGUGAAACCCACUUCAAGAUGAGAUUUCCCAUUGCGCAAGCAAGUAAGACCCCUUAAAGACGAUAAGGUAGAUAGGUCAGGAGUGUAAGCAUGGUGACAUGUUAAGCGGACUGAUACUAAUAGGUCGAGGGCUUGACCGA